rnacentral:rRNA from 1 species
UACAGAGGUCCCAAGCGUUGUUCGGAUUCAUUGGGCGUAAAGGGUGCGUAGGUGGCGCGCUAAGUCAGGUGUGAAAUUUCGGAGCUUAACUCCGAAACUGCAUUUGAUACUGGCGUGCUUGAGGACUGGAGAGGAGACUGGAAUUCAUGGUGUAGCAGUGAAAUGCGUAGAGAUCAUGAGGAAGACCAGUGGCGAAGGCGGGUCUCUGGACAGUUCCUGACACUGAGACACGAAGGCCAGGGGAGCAAACGGG